rnacentral:rRNA from 1 species
GUGGGGAAUAUUGGACAAUGGGCGCAAGCCUGAUCCAGCCAUACCGCGUGGGUGAAGAAGGCCUUCGGGUUGUAAAGCCCUUUUGUUGGGAAAGAAAUCCUGUCGGUUAAUACCUGGCGGGGAUGACGGUACCCAAAGAAUAAGCACCGGCUAACUUCGUGCCAGCAGCCGCGGUAAUACGAAGGGUGCAAGCGUUACUCGGAAUUACUGGGCGUAAAGCGUGCGGAGGUGGUGGUUUAAGUCCGUUGUGAAAGCCCUGGGCUCAACCUGGGAAUUGCAGUGGAUACUGGAUCACUAGAGUGUGGUAGAGGGAUGCGGAAUUUCUGGUGUAGCAGUGAAAUGCGUAGAGAUCAGAAGGAACAUCCGUGGCGAAGGCGGCAUCCUGGGCCAACACUGACACUGAGGCACGAAAGCGUGGGGAGCAAACAGGAUUAGAUACCCGUGUAGUCC